AGGGCACCACCAGGAGUGGAGCCUGCGGCUUAAUUUGACUCAACACGGGGAAACUCACCCGGCCAGGACACAAUAAGGAUUGACAGAUUGAUAGCUCUUUCUUGAUUUUGUGGGUGGUGGUGCAUGGCCGUUCUUAGUUGGUGGAGCGAUUUGUCUGGUUAAUUCCGAUAACGAACGAGACUCUAGCCUAUUAAAUAGACGAUAUAUUAUUAGUUUAUCGAGCUUCUUAGAGGGACAGGCAGCUUCUAGCUGCACGAGAUUGAGCAAUAACAGGUCUGUGAUGCCCUUAGAUGUCCGGGGCUGCACGCGCGCUACAAUGAUAAUAGCAGCGUGCAUUAAAACCUUUUCUGGUAAGAAUUGGUAAACACGAAAUAUUGUCGUGCUUGGGAUAGGGGAUUGAAAUUAUUGCCCUUAAACGAGGAAUUCCCAGUAAGUGCGAGUCAUUAGCUUGCGUUGAUUACGUCCCUGCCCUUUGUACGCACCGCCCGUCGCUACUACCGAUUGGAAGAUUUAGUGAAU
rnacentral:rRNA from 1 species